rnacentral:sRNA from 1 species
UUCGAGCGAAAGCGAGAAAGCGUUGCCGCAGGCAACGACCCGAAGGGCGAAGCGCGCAGCGCUGAGUAAUCCUUCCCCCGUCAUCC